UACGUAGGGGGCAAGCGUUGUCCGGAUUUAUUGGGCGUAAAGAGCGUGUAGGCGGCCAUGUAGGUCCGUUGUGAAAACUCGAGGCUCAACCUCGAGACGCCGAUGGAAACCAUGUGGCUAGAGUCCGGAAGAGGAGAGUGGAAUUCCUGGUGUAGCGGUGAAAUGCGCAGAUAUCAGGAAGAACACCCGUGGCUAAGGCGGCUCUCUGGACCGAGACUGACGCUGAGGCGCGAAAGCGUGGGGAGCAAACAGG
rnacentral:rRNA from 1 species